UACGUAGGGUGCAAGCGUUAAUCGGAAUUACUGGGCGUAAAGCGUGCGCAGGCGGUUGUGCAAGACAAGAUGUGGAAAUCCCCCGGGCUCAACCUGGGAAUUGCAUUUGUGACUGCACGGCUAGAGUGUGUCAGAGGGGGGUAGAAUUCCAACGUGUAGCAGUGAAAUGCGUAGAGAUGUGGAGGAAUACCGAUGGCGAAGGCAGCCCCCUGGGAUAACACUGACGCUCUGCACGAAAGCGUGGGGAGCAAACAGG
rnacentral:rRNA from 1 species